rnacentral:rRNA from 1 species
AACGUAGGUGACGAGCGUUAUCCGGAUUUACUGGGCGUAAAGCGCGUGCAGGCGGCUCAGCAAGUCGGGCAUGAAAUCUCCUAGCCUAACUGGGAGACGCUGUCCGAUACUGUUGGGCUUGAGGGCAGUAGAGGGUGGUGGAAUUCCGCAUGUAGUGGUGAAAUGCGUAGAUAUGCGGAGGAACACCAGUGGCGAAAGCGGCCACCUGGACUGCACCUGACGCUGAAGCGCGAAAGCUAGGGGAGCAAACGGG